rnacentral:misc_RNA from 1 species
GAAUUUGGUGCACUGGUUUGGUAUGUAAUAAUUACUCGUAUCUCUUGUUGAGUUUGUACUGUAGUUUCCAAGUUCCACAGAAAAGAAGUGAACAUGUUUCAUUUUACAUUUCAUGUCUAUCAAACUUAUAAUUAUAACAAUUUGUUCCAUUUUCCAUCACACUAAGUUUAGCUGACAAAUAUAUGCCUCUACCAAAACCAAGAAAUGGGUAAAUUAUCCAAGAGAAAUUUGAAUACUGUGUUGUUAAAAUUUUUAUUUGUCUUCCCCACAAUGCUUUUGGAUUGUAAACUUGUAUGAAGUGUUGAGAAGGUAGUUACCACUUCAAAAUGUUAUGCAAAGCAAAGUAAUCAACCAAUUGGCUUACUGUCAUUUGCUUCUACACUUUUCUUGGGUAAAUUUACAAGGGUCUUUGUAAAUCAUGAUUGCAAUUUGUCAUCUUUUUGUGCAUAAAAGUUUUGAAGUCAAUAAUUUCUUCCUAAUGGCAAAUCAUCUGACAAAAUAAGUGCAUUGUGGUAUGUUUCUAUUCACAGAUCAGAUUAGUUAACUUCCCUGCAUACUAAAUCUGAAGGCUUAUGGCAUGCAUCAGCUGUAUAUCAUUUUCUACAUGAUAUAUUCGUAACUUUCCAUUGAGUAAUUAUGUUAAAGAUAAACUUUUUCAUUUCUCAUACGGAUUUAACUAGUCCAAUUCUAAUAUUUUAGACUCGUGUGUAACGGUUCGGAAGUUCCCCACUCCUAUUCUUGGCAGUUGGCAAGGCCGUCACAAGCUGUCUCUUGCCCUAUGGAGCUAACUAGUGUGAAUCUGUACAGAUUGAUCAAGCAUUGCCUCCUGGUGACUAUUGGAUAUUUGUCUGCACCAUUGGAGUUUGGCAUGAAGGUUUAGGAGACAGAAUAGGGAUUCAGAACAAGGGCAAACCAUGUUGGAAUAUCUUGCAAUGCUUUGUACUAGAAUGAAGUAUAAGAGAGACGACCAUUUGGAGGAAGCCCACUAAUCAUCAGAACUCUGAAAUGUAUCAAAAAACCAAGGACUUGGCUUUGAUUUGUAUCAAAAUGAUCCCUGAUGCUGUUUGGGAAAGAUGGAACUGUGUUACCUCCUCUUCCAAAUGUGAAAAAGACAUCCUGCCUCUAUCUGGAGUUGCUCACAAAAAAUGACCAAAAAGUUUGAAUGCUAGGAUUAGAAGUGGAGGAAUUUCAGUUGGGGCCUUUGAUAAGAUUAUCAAUUCUGGAAAGGAAGAGUUGGAUAUUAUGGAUCAUACUCAACUCUCUAAAGGAAGAUAGAAUUAUAAAUUGAAAUGAAAGCUGCAUGGAUGGCACAUGGUAAGGGUAAUGGAUGUUGUACCAUGCACCAUGCAGGAAGGUUAAUCUUGUUGAACUUGUGUCACCUUGCAGGAAAUUGUUCGGACUGGUAUCAAUAAGAUUAGUUCUUGCCUUCUAGUUUUUAUGAUCCGAUCCUUUGUGCAAUUGCCAUGCCUUCCAUGGAUUGUAUUUAUUUAUAUAGAACCAAAUAUCAGUGUGGAAAUUUGUUGAUCUACAAAAUUUUCUGAAUUUCAUGCCUUUCUGCAUUUUAUGCUUUCGGAUUGU